UACGGGGGGUGCGAGCGUUGUCCGGAAUCACUGGGCGUAAAGGGUGCGUAGGUGGUGAGGUAAGUCGGAUGUGAAAUCUCCGAGCUCAACUCGGAAAUGGCAUUGGAAACUACCUUGCUUGAGGGUUGGAGGGGGGACUGGAAUACUUGGUGUAGCAGUGAAAUGCGUAGAUAUCAAGUGGAACACCAGUGGCGAAGGCGAGUCCCUGGACAACUCCUGACACUGAGGCACGAAAGCUAGGGGAGCAAACAGG
rnacentral:rRNA from 1 species